GUAGGUGGCAAGCGUUGUCCGGAAUUAUUGGGCGUAAAGCGCGCGCAGGCGGUCCUUUAAGUCUGAUGUGAAAGCCCACGGGCUCAACCGUGGAGGGUCAUUGGAAACUGGGGGACUUGAGUACAGAAGAGGAAAGCGGAAUUCCAAGUGUAGCGGUGAAAUGCGUAGAGAUUUGGAGGAACACCAGUGGCGAAGGCGGCUUUCUGGUCUGUAACUGACGCUGAGGCGCGAAAGCGUGGGGAGCAAACAGGAUUAGAUACCCUGGUAGUCCACGCCGUAAGCGAUGAGUGCUAAGUGUUAGGGGGUUUCCGCCCCUUAGUGCUGCAGCUAACGCAUUAAGCACUCCGCCUGGGGAGUACGGCCGCAAAGGCUG
rnacentral:rRNA from 1 species